GGAGGGGUGGCCGAGUGGUUGAUGGCGUUAGUCUUGAAAACUAAUGUAAGGUUUCCUUACCGGGGGUUCGAAUCCCUCUCCCUCCG
rnacentral:tRNA from 1 species